rnacentral:lncRNA from 1 species
GCAGGACUAAUAAUAGCCUUUGGGUCAAAAAUAACCGCCACUUUAGCAGGCACGAAACCCUAUACCGGAUGAGCACGAGACAAGGAAGCCCAUCCACCAUUCUAACCCAAGGAUUUUGCCUUAACUCCGGUAGAAUCUGAUCUAAUUUCCUUCCCUUUCUUAGAAAAACUCUUCUCCUUAUGUUUCUUUAACAUGGCCGUUAGACCAAUUUGAAGAGAAUUGACUUCCUUCCUUUCAGGUUUCCACGACUUCUUUUGGUAGGUCAGCCAUGGACCAAAGUCCAUUCUCAUCUCACCGGCAGCGCGUGUCCGGCUGGUGACUUUGAGUUGCCGGCGACCCAAUGGGCAAAAUAAUCCUCGAUUCAAUUUGGUGCUUGGAUUUUGUGGGGCGGACCGCCUCUUCAUGUCCACUUCACCCACAAACAAAACAGAGGGUCGGAAGAUUCUCGUUAAAGACUUCCUGCCAAACAUCAUCAAGGAAAACACCAGUUUCGAUUGCCGCUUUGAGGUUAAUCUCCACGGGAAAGUCUCACAAAUUUCCCACGAUAUGUAGACAAAGUUUACCAAUCAAUUCGAAUUGUAUGCCCUAUCAAAUUACCCAAACUCCAAAUAAUUUCCUUAUGAUAAUACUGAAUUGGCAACUUUGGAAAUCUGAUCCAAACAACCAUCUUAGGUGGAAAGGUUGAAGUGACACAGAACGACGGAUCCCAACCUUGACAGGUUAGAUAGUGAUUCAAGAUCAUCCAAGGAUCCAUGGAUGCGAAAUCAUAAUCCUGAGGAUUAUCAAAAUAAACCAAAAAACAUCAUUAUCAAGAUCUGUCAUCCGCAUCCGUCCUUCAGGUUUCCACAUGAUCUUGUGGCGAUCGUACAUGUAUUGGACAUUGACAGUCUUUCCCAUUAGUUUGACAACCAGGGCCGUCCAGAGUGGGGCACAUAUUCUCGCACGUAAACCACCAGAGGUAUAGAGGUGCCCAUGGUAUUUUUUACGAGACAGGGAGAUAUCUCUAUCUCCGAUGACAAUCAGAGUAUUACUGGAAGGAGAGGAGGAGUGCAACAUGCGAGACUGCUGCAAUGUAGGACUUAGGAACAUUUGUUGGAGAGGUAAUUUGUUGCUUACUGACUCCAGCCGAGAUCGAAGAAUCUUUAGAAUCGAGCAUCUGCAUGUCAGGCGGAGGAUUAGGCUCCGGCAGACCAAUCUCCGAUAGAGCAGAAGGAGGAAAUUGGAAUUUCGAAAUUGAGAGCACUUUUUCACUAAUUAUAUGUUAUUGUUUAUAAGUUAAAAUCUUCACUGAAUUUCAACGUUUCCCUUUUUUUUGUUGAUAAUGUAUCGUUAUUAAUCGUCAUGUAUGAAUUCGCAUGUAUUUAUAGUAGAGUAGUAAAAUCGAUGAUUUAAAUCUUAAAAUUUUAUGAACUUACGAUUUUAGUGAUGUUUAGUAAUUAUGAUUCCACUCAAAAGCUGUGGUUAGUGGAAUCGGGUAAAAUCUCGAUUUAAAUCUUAUAAUCUCUUAAAAUCAAUGAUUUUUAUGUAUUUUACGAUUCUACUCUCUAAGUGAAAAUUGUCCAUUUGUUAUUUCGUC